rnacentral:rRNA from 1 species
UACGGGGGGGGCAAGCGUUGUUCGGAAUUACUGGGCGUAAAGGGCGCGUAGGCGGCCUUCUUAGUCGGACGUGAAAUCCCCGGGCUUAACUCGGGAACUGCGUCCGAUACUGGAAGGCUGGAGUUCGGGAGAGGAAUGUGGAAUUCCAGGUGUAGCGGUGAAAUGCGUAGAUAUCUGGAGGAACACCGGUGGCGAAGGCGGCAUUCUGGACCGAAACUGACGCUGAUGCGCGAAAGCCAGGGGAGCAAACGGG